CGGAUUAUAGUUAGAGGUGAAAUCCCAGGGCUCAACCCUGGAACUGCCUUUAAAACUGUUAGUCUUGAGAUCGAGAGAGGUGAGUGGAAUUCCAAGUGUAGAGGUGAAAUUCGUAGAUAUUUGGAGGAACACCAGUGGCGAAGGCGGCUCACUGGCUCGAUACUGACA
rnacentral:rRNA from 1 species